rnacentral:rRNA from 1 species
UAGGGAAUCUUCGGCAAUGGACGGAAGUCUGACCGAGCAACGCCGCGUGAGUGAAGAAGGUUUUCGGGUCGUAAAGCUCUGUUGUAAGAGAAGAACGAGCGUGAGAGUGGAAAGUUCACACUGUGACGGUAUCUUACCAGAAAGGGACGGCUAACUACGUGCCAGCAGCCGCGGUAAUACGUAGGUCCCGAGCGUUAUCCGGAUUUAUUGGGCGUAAAGCGAGCGCAGGCGGUUAGAUAAGUCUGAAGUUAAAGGCUGUGGCUUAACCAUAGUACGCUUUGGAAACUGUUUAACUUGAGUGCAAGAGGGGAGAGUGGAAUUCCAUGUGUAGCGGUGAAAUGCGUAGAUAUAUGGAGGAACACCGGUGGCGAAAGCGGCUCUCUGGCUUGUAACUGACGCUGAGGCUCGAAAGCGUGGGGAGCAAACAGGAUUAGAUACCCUGGUAGUCCACGCCGUAAACGAUGAGUGCUAGGUGUUAGACCCUUUCCGGGGUUUAGUGCCGUAGCUAACGCAUUAAGCACUCCGCCUGGGGAGUACGACCGCAAGGUUG